CGUUGAUCAUGAACAAGGCUUUAAUUAUUCUGAGAACUAACUGUCCAACCAUAUACUAUAGCAACACGUUAGGUAAGGAUGUCAACGAAAAGCGAAUACAAACCAACAGAACAUGUCAAGUAAUCGAGUAUCGGAAAACAUAAAUGGCAAGCAGCAACAAUAGCUAUAGAACUAGGUAAUAACCCGCGCCUUGCGCGGGAUGAGAUUAUUAGUUUCGUUAUUUUUAAUAAAAAACAUUAAAUCUGUUUAAUCUGGAUAUUGGUUCGGUUUUUUUUUUUUUUUGGUUUUUAAUCAUUCAAAAUAUAACUAUUAUUUUAAAUUCAUAUUCAUUUUAGUUUAUUCGGUUAAAAUGUUUGAUUUUUUUGUUUUUCGGUAAAAACUAAAAAUUAAUAUUAUUUGUUUAUUUUCAUAUUAUGAAUUUUAGAUAGUCGUCAUGUCAAACCAAUGGUUUCAUAUUAUAGUUUCUAAACAGAUAAUAAUUUAAAAAAUAAAAUAAAAAUAUUAAGACAAAUCAUUUCAUUACAAUUUGGACUGUAGUGAAAGAAGCA
rnacentral:lncRNA from 1 species